rnacentral:sRNA from 1 species
AAAAAAAAAUGAAAAACA